GGGCUUGCGUCCGAUUAGCUGGUUGGCGGGGUAAUGGCCCACCAAGGCGAAGAUCGGUAGCUGGUCUGAGAGGAUGGACAGCCACACGGGGGCUGAGAUACGGCCCCGACUCCUACGGGAGGCAGCAGCAGGGAAUAUUGCGCAAUGGGCGAAAGCCUGACGCAGCAACGCCGCGUGGGGGAAGAAGGCUUUCGGGUUGUAAACCCCUUUUCUUGGGGAAGGGACGGUACCCAAGGAAUAAGCUUCGGCUAACUACGUGCCAGCAGCCGCGGUAAGACGUAGGAAGCGAGCGUUAUCCGGAAUUACUGGGCGUAAAGGGCGUGUAGGCGGCUUUCUAAGUCUCUGGUGAAAUCUCCCGGCUCAACUGGGAGGGCGCUGGGGAAACUGGGGGGCUUGAGGGCAGCAGAGGGGAGUGGAAUUCCCGGUGUAGUGGUGAUAUGCGUAGAU
rnacentral:rRNA from 1 species